UAUAAAACUUUAUUAACACUAAGUACUUACACACGCACACUAACACACUUGCACACACACGCAUACAGUGGGCGAGCAGCAUAAACAACGUAGCACAUUUGAAAUGACCAUAAAACACAAACAAAACAGUAGCCAAGAACAACAAUAACAGAGACGAGAGGAACAUGGCAAGUUGAAUGUCCUGCAGCGAGCGGCUUCUUCCACCCAGCAAAACUUCAAGUGUUUCGACAACAACAACAACAACAGCAACAGAAGUUGUUGCGGGUGCGUGGCGACUGUGAAGGAAGUGAGUGAAGAACGAGAAAAAAAACUGGCACAAAGUGCACAAAACGUACUUAGAACAUCUUUAAGUUCAACAUAAAAAACUUGGCCAAACAUAAAUCCCAACAUCACAAAAACAAACGCAGCACACUUUGCUCGCAGGCAUAGCAACAGCUCACACUGGAGACCAUAUUAAGACUGAUUUUGGCCGCUGGGCAGCUGGCCAGCAUAUUUAGGCGAUUAUUUAUGGCCAAUGGCGACGACGAGGAAUUCGACACUCGGCGCGACUUGCUGGCAAUCGCAGAGACACAAAUACGGAUGGCUGGGUACGAGUAGGAGUGUAUGUGUGUGUGUGUGUGUGUGUGUGUGGGUGGGCAGCAAACAAGCGCAAACAUGAGCAGAUCGAGCUGUACCACUUGCCAACUGUCUGCUGUUUAUUGACGGCACAGCAACAACAAC